AACACGACUCUCGGCAACGGAUAUCUCGGCUCUCGCAUCGAUGAAGAACGUAGCAAAAUGCGAUACCUGGUGUGAAUUGCAGAAUCCCGCGAACCAUCGAGUUUUUGAACGCAAGUUGCGCCCGAAGCCUCCAGGCCGAGGGCACGUCUGCCUGGGCGUCACGC
rnacentral:rRNA from 1 species